GUUCGGAGAAAGAGCGAGAGAGAACGGAAGGAGAGCAGAAGUAUUCGCGACUGAGGGGAGGGGGGGUUCACCGAGCCCUCGCUUCCUCUCUCCAUUUUUUCCCUUCCCCCUCAGGGGGCUCCGAAGCGAUCGUUGCUCGCAGACUUUUUGGCCGAUUCCUCGAGCUCGAAUUCCGAUUUCCAGAACUAGAUUGAGAUGCAUGUGUGACGUUUGCUGGUGGCGAAAGGAAUAUUAAAAAAGCGGGAGGCAAGAUUAUUGUGUUCGGUUGUCUGCCUAGUUCUUGGGGCAUGAACUUUUGUCUUCCCAGCUCAAAGCACUCUUUGCCUUCCUCUUCAAAUGAUGUAAAGGAGUCAAAACUUGGGUGAAUCCAUAAGCCUUUUGCUGGAGUAAGAAUAACUUUUUAUUGCUGGAGUUGGAAGUGGGCUCUAUCUUCAUGAGAGCUUGGGUUGGGGUAAUGGAAGGUCUUCUGUGCCUCCACAAACAGCAGUGCAGCACAAUGCCAACAACUUUGUGCGGCAACCAUCUCUUCUGGCUGGGGACGGAAUUUUUUUUUACGUCAUA